rnacentral:rRNA from 1 species
CCUACGGGGGGCAGCAGUGGGGAAUAUUGGGCAAUGGAGGCAACUCUGACCCAGCAACGCCGCGUGAGUGAUGAAGGUCUUCGGAUUGUAAAACUCUUUAAGUGGGGACGAAGAAAGUGACUGUACCCACAGAAUAAGCCUCGGCUAACUACGUGCCAGCAGCCGCGGUAAUACGUAGGAGGCAAGCGUUAUCCGGAAUGACUGGGCGUAAAGGGUGCGUAGGUGGUUCGGCAAGUUAGUAGCGUAAUUCCGGGGCUCAACCUCGGAACUACUACUAAAACUGUUGGGCUUGAGUGCAGGAGGGGCAUAUGGAAUUCCUAGUGUAGCGGUGGAAUGCGUAGAUAUUAGGAAGAACACCAGUGGCGAAGGCGAUAUGCUGGACUGUAACUGACACUGAGGCACGAAAGCGUGGGGAGCAAACAGGAUUAGAUA